rnacentral:rRNA from 1 species
UGGACAGUGUCUGGUGGGUAGUUUGACUGGGGCGGUCUCCUCCCAAAUAGUAACGGAGGAGCACGAAGGUUAGCUAAUCACGGUCGGACAUCGUGAGGUUAGUGCAAUGGCAUAAGCUAGCUUAACUGCGAGACAGACACGUCGAGCAGGUACGAAAGUAGGUCAUAGUGAUCCGGUGGUUCUGUAUGGAAGGGCCAUCGCUCAACGGAUAAAAGGUACUCCGGGGAUAACAGGCUGAUACCGCCCAAGAGUUCAUAUCGACGGCGGUGUUUGGCACCUCGAUGUCGGCUCAUCACAUCCUGGGGCUGAAGCCGGUCCCAAGGGUAUGGCUGUUCGCCAUUUAAAGUGGUACGCGAGCUGGGUUCAGAACGUCGUGAGACAGUUCGGUCCCUAUCUGCCGUGGGCGUUGGAAAAUUGAGGAAAGCUGCUCCUAGUACGAGAGGACCGGAGUGGACGAACCCCUGGUGUUUGGGUUGUCAUGCCAAUGGCAUUGCCCAGUAGCUACGUUCGGACGGGAUAACCGCUGAAAGCAUCUAAGCGGGAAGCCUCUUCCAAGAUUAAUUUUCCCUGGGAGUUUAACUCCCCUGAAGGGCCGUUCAAGACUAGGACGUUGAUAGGUUGGGUGUGGAAGCGCUGCGAGGCGUUGAGCUAACCAAUACUAAUUGCCCGUGAGGCUUGACCAU